AUCUGAAAGAAAAACUAGAUAUACAUAGCAUCAGAUGUAGUGUGCAAGAGAGAAGACUGCGCUGAUAUGGCCAUGUAAUGUGUGUGAAUGAAGACAGUUGCAUCAAGAGGUACCGAUCUCUAAUUGUAGAG